UACGUAGGGGGCGAGCGUUGUCCGGAUUUAUUGGGCGUAAAGAGCUCGUAGGCGGCUGCUCAAGUCGAAUGUGAAAACUCGAGGCUCAACCUCGAGCCUGCAUUCGAUACUGGGCGGCUAGAGUCUGGUAGGGGGAUCUGGAAUUCCUGGUGUAGCGGUGGAAUGCGCAGAUAUCAGGAGGAACACCGGUGGCGAAGGCGGGAUCCUGGGCCAGUACUGACGCUGAGGAGCGAAAGCGUGGGGAGCAAACAGG
rnacentral:rRNA from 1 species